GAACCCCGUAGAAAGCGGAGGAGAGUGAAGAGAAACAGGUCGAAAAUGGUCUUCAAAGAAAUCAAACAACUCUGAACCCAGUUUUUAAUCUAUCAGGAGGAGGACCUCAUUCCUGGACUGGACUGGACUGACAUCAGGUAAUGGUUUUCCAGCAGAUGAUGCCUGUUAACAACGUUGUGACAUCAGUCUGUAUGUUGAUGUUGUCCAAAUGAUGGCGCUAUCUCAGUCAUUUAUUCUGACAUCAUUUCCUGAUUUAGAAACUGACAUAUUUAUAAAGGUUUUUUCUUUUAAUUGGAAACAAAGUCAUAAGUGUUACACUUGAGAAGCGAAUUGUGUUUUUGCUUUUAAAAAUUCUAAAGUUUUUAUAAUUGUUCGACCAUUUGGUUUGUUGUAGGUGUUUAAUCUCAUUGUUAACCUGUGUAUAUUGUCUUUUAAAAUAAACAGUUAUUAUA